ACAGAAGCUGUCGGGGUCCUGGAAGACGGUCCCCAAUACCCUCCCCCCAAGUCCUUGGGACCACUUGGGUCCCCAGAGCUGGGGAGAUGGUUUGUGGCGGCUUUGCCUGCUCCAAGAAUGCGCUUUGCGCUCUCAACGUGGUCUACAUGGUGAGGUUUUGGAGCUGGUGAGCUUGUUGCUCAUUGGAGUGGCUGCUUGGGGCAAGGGCCUGGGUCUGGUGUCCAGCAUCCACAUCAUCGGCGGAGUCAUUGCUGUGGGAGUCUUCCUUCUCCUUAUUGCAGUGGCUGGACUGGUGGGUGCUGUCAACCACCACCAAGUCCUGCUGUUCUUUUACAUGAUCAUCCUUGGUUUGGUCUUCAUCUUCCAAUUUGUAAUCUCUUGCUCAUGUCUGGCUAUUAACCGAAGCAAACAGAUCAUCCUUAGGUGCACUGCUUCUGGCCUCUUGGGCUAUUUGCUU
rnacentral:sRNA from 1 species